AUUUUUUUUUCCCAUUAUAUUACCAAUCACAAAUUAACUCCUAUUUCCUAGGGAAAGAAAAAUUUCAAUUUUUUUUGUGUGUAAUUUUUUAAUUAUUAAGACUAUGAAAUUUGUGUUCAAUUACUUUUUGGGGGGUGGGGGGGUAUUUUCACUUUUUGUUUUUGUUGCACUUCCCUUCCUAAAAGAUAAACAAGACUUAGAACCUUGAGCUUUGUAUAGCUAGUACCAUCACCAAGUUUUAUUCUCUAUUUGUUUUUGACUCCUCAUAAAUCAACAUCAGACAUUGUUGUAACUAGCCAACCCAUUAUUAAAUUAAGCCACGAGAUCUGGAUUUUGUCACAGCCCGAAGUCUUUCCUAUGUCAUGGUGUACGGGGAUAUUUGCCAUUGGCCAUCAGUCCACACUCACAUCUACACGAGCAUCUUCACUGUUGCCUUGAAACAAACAAAAGUGUCAUCUGUCAUGAAUGUCAUACACAAACAGGAGACUCUACUAAUGUGAUACAUUUCGCUUGUGAUGCUAAGGUUUUAGAGGGCUGGGUUGUCUUGAAAGAAUUGAGUAUUAAGAGCCUUUUUGUUAAAAAGUUAGUCUUCAAAGACAGUUCUUUCAGAUGUGAUAAGUAAUAGAUGUUUGCUUCAUUUUGUAUUCUACAUCUGUCCAAUAAACUUGAUGUCAUUAAUUAAUCAUUUUAUAUGCAUUCAGAUGUGUCGCAAUUAC